UGGGGAAUCUUGGACAAUGGGGGCAACCCUGAUCCAGCCAUGCCGCGUGAGUGAUGAAGGCCUUAGGGUUGUAAAGCUCUUUCACCGGUGAAGAUAAUGACGGUAGCCGGAGAAGAAGCCCCGGCUAACUUCGUGCCAGCAGCCGCGGUAAUACGAAGGGGGCAAGCGUUGUUCGGAAUUACUGGGCGUAAAGGGGCGUGUAGGCGGUCUAAUCAGUCAGUGGUGAAAGCCCUGGGCUCAACCCAGGAAUUGCCUUUGAUACUGUUAGACUAGAGUUCGGGAGAGGGUAGUGGAAUUCCCAGUGUAGAGGUGAAAUUCGUAGAUAUUGGGAAGAACACCAGUGGCGAAGGCGGCUACCUGGACCGGUACUGACGCUGAGGCGCGAAAGCGUGGGGAGCAAACAGGAUUAGAUACCCUGGUAGUCCACGCCGUAAACGAUGUCUGCUAGACGUCGGGGGGCGCAGCCCUUCGGUGUCGCAGCUAACGCAUUAAGCA
rnacentral:rRNA from 1 species